ncrna:unclassified sequences skipping-rope RNA
AGAAUAAACGAGGACGGAACGGGCAGCCGUCGCCACUUGAAACAAACCCACGGCCGGGGUUCAAGGUAGGAGAUGUGGGAACAGGUCGCCCCACCUUAUUCU